rnacentral:rRNA from 1 species
UGAAGCGGCAACAGCUCAAAUUUGAAAUCUGGCCUCGGCCCGAGUUGUAAUUUGCAGAGGAUGCUUCUGGCGCGGUGCCUUCCGAGUUCCCUGGAACGGGACGCCACAGAGGGUGAGAGCCCCGUAUGGUCGGACACCAAGCCUGUGUGAAGCUCCUUCGACGAGUCGAGUAGUUUGGGAAUGCUGCUCUAAAUGGGAGGUAAAUCUCUUCUAAAGCUAAAUACCGGCCAGAGACCGAUAGCGCACAAGUAGAGUGAUCGAAAGAUGAAAAGCACCUUGAAAAGGGGGUUAAAUAGUACGUGAAAUUGUUGAAAGGGAAGCACUUGUGACCAGACUUGGGCCGGGCGGCUCAUCAGGGGUUCUCCCCUGUGCACUCCGCCCGGCACAGGCCAGCAUCGGUUCUCGUGGGGGGAUAAGACCGUCGGGAACGUAGCACCCUCCGGGGUGUGUUAUAGCCCGGCGGACGAUACCCCCGUGGGGACCGAGGUUCGCGCUCCGCCAAGGAUGCUGGCGUAAUGGUCACCAGUGACCCGUCUUGAAACACGGACCAAGGAGUCGUUCCAUUAGAGCGAGCGUUUGGGUGUAAAACCCGCACGCGUAAUGAAAGUGAACGCAGGUGAGAGCUUCGGCGCAUCAUCGACCGAUCCUGAUGUUCUCGGAAGGAUUUGAGUAAGAGUUUUAACGGACGGACCCGAAAGACAGUGAACUAUGCUUGUAUAGGGUGAAGCCAGAGGAAACUCUGGUGGAGGCUCGCAGCGGUUCUGACGUGCAAAUCGAUCGUCAAAUAUGAGCAUGGGGGGCAAAAGACUAAUCGAACUGUCUAGUAGCUGGGUACCGCCCAAAGUUUCCCUCAGGAUAGCAAUGGUUGAUCUUCAGUUUUUAUGAGGUAAAGCGAAUGAUUAAGGGACUCCGGGGAGCUAUAUUGCCUUCAUCCAUUCUCAAACUUUAAAUAUGUAAGAAGCCCUUGUUACUUAGUUGAACGUGGGCAUUCGAAUGUACCAACACUAGUGGGCCAUUUUUGGUAAGCAGAACUGGCGAUGCGGGAUGAACCGAACGCGGGGUUAAGGCGCCAGAGUGUACGCUCAUCAGACACCACAAAAGGCGUUAGUACAUCUUGACAGCAGGACGGUGGCCAUGGAAGUCGGAAUCCGCUAAGGACUGUGUAACAACUCACCUGCCGAAUGUACUAGCCCUGAAAAUGGAUGGCGCUCAAGCGUACCGCCCAUACCCCGCCCCCAGGGUAGAAACGAUGCCCUGGGGAGUAGGCGGCCGUGGGGGU